AACGAACGCUGGCGGCAGGCUUAACACAUGCAAGUCGAACGGGCGCAGCGAUGCGUCAGUGGCAGACGGGUGAGUAACGCGUGGGAACGUACCUUUCGGUUCGGAAUAACUCAGGGAAACUUGAGCUAAUACCGGAUACGCCCUUUGGGGGAAAGAUUUAUUGCCGAAAGAUCGGCCCGCGUCCGAUUAGCUAGUUGGUGAGGUAAAGGCUCACCAAGGCGACGAUCGGUAGCUGGUCUGAGAGGAUGAUCAGCCACACUGGGACUGAGACACGGCCCAGACUCCUACGGGAGGCAGCAGUGGGGAAUAUUGUACAAUGGGCGCAAGCCUGAUCCAGCCAUGCCGCGUGAGUGAUGAAGGCCCUAGGGUUGUAAAGCUCUUUCGCCAGGGACGAUAAUGACGGUACCUGGAUAAGAAGCCCCGGCUAACUUCGUGCCAGCAGCCGCCGUAAUAC
rnacentral:rRNA from 1 species